rnacentral:rRNA from 1 species
CAGAGGGUGCAAGCGUUAAUCGGAUUUACUGGGCGUAAAGCGUGAGUAGGUGGCUCGCUAAGUCGAUUGUGAAAGCCCUGGGCUCAACCUGGGAAUUGCAGUCGAUACUGGAGAGCUAGAGUUCGGUAGAGGGUGACGGAAUUCCCGGUGUAGCGGUGAAAUGCGUAGAUAUCGGGAGGAACAUCGAUGGCGAAGGCAAUCACCUGGGCCUGAACUGACACUGAGACACGAAAGCGUGGGUAGCAAACAGGAUUAGAUACCCUGGUAGUCCACGCCGUAAACGAUGGGAACCUGACGUCGGUUUGCUCUGCGAAUCGGUGUCGUAGCUAACGCGCUAAGUUCCCCGCCUGGGGAGUACGGCCGCAAGGUUG